AGCCACUGAGGACGGAACGGGCUACCGUCACCACGCUGAAAGCGGCGGAGAUGUGGGAUACGCCAACCCACCUUGGUU
rnacentral:ncRNA from 12 species